rnacentral:rRNA from 1 species
UUAUGUUGUCCAGCACGUGAUGUGGGGACGUCAUGAGAGACUGCCGGGGUUAACUCGGAGGAAGGUGGGGAGUGACGUCAAAUACAUCAUGCCCCUUAUGUCCAGGGCUUCACACAUGCUACAAUGGUCGGUACAACGCGUGUGCGACACUGUGAGGUGAAGCUAAUCGCUCUAAAGCCGGUCGUAGUUCGGAUUGGGGUCUGCAGCUCGACCCCAUGAAGUCGGAGUCGCUAGUAAUCGCAGAUCAGCAACGCUGCGGUGAAUACGUUCCCGGGCCUU